UCAGAAAACCAUAGAGAUCGGGCUUUUCCUUCGGGAGCAGAGUGACAGGUGGUGCAUGGUUGUCGUCAGCUCGUGUCGUGAGAUGUUGGGUUAAGUCCCGCAACGAGCGCAACCCUUGAUCUUAGUUGCCCUCAUUAAGUUGGGCACUCUAAGGUGCCUGCCGGUGACAAACCGGAGGAAGGUGGGGAUGACGUCAAAUCAUCAUGCCCCUUAUGACCUGGGCUACACACGUGCUACAAUGGACGGUACAAAGAGCUGCAAGACCGCGAGGUGGAGCUAAUCUCAUAAAACCGUUCUCAGUUCGGAUUGUAGGCUGCAACUCGCCUACAUGAAGCUGGAAUCGCUAGUAAUCGCGGAUCAGCAUGCCGCGGUGAAUACGUUCCCGGGCCUUGUACACACCGCCCGUCACACCACGAGAGUUUGUAACACCCGAAGUCGGUGGGGUAACCUUUUGGAGCCAGCCGCCUAAGUGGACCAGAAGAUUUGG
rnacentral:rRNA from 1 species